rnacentral:piRNA from 1 species
UAAAACUGUAUUGUUUUCCUCCUGAUC